rnacentral:rRNA from 1 species
UACGGAGGGGGUUAGCGUUGUUCGGAAUUACUGGGCGUAAAGCGCGCGUAGGCGGAUCAGAAAGUUGGGGGUGAAAUCCCGGGGCUCAACCCCGGAACUGCCCUCAAAACUCCUGGUCUUGAGGUCGAGAGAGGUGAGUGGAAUUCCGAGUGUAGAGGUGAAAUUCGUAGAUAUUCGGAGGAACACCAGUGGCGAAGGCGGCUCACUGGCUCGAUACUGACGCUGAGGUGCGAAGGCGUGGGGAUCAAACAGG